UCUCUUUACUCUCUAGGAUGGGGUAAGGUCUGCAUACCCACCACUUUCCUCAUACCCCACUUGUGGGAUUAUACUUGAUUGUUGUUGUUGUAUAUCAUCAACGGUUGAAUUCAUCACAACAAUACAUCUGUGAUACCAUGAAAGAAAAGAACAGCUGAGGUACAUGGGCUUGCUCAGUUGCUUGUGAAGCUAAUCUUAUUUAUGCCCAUAGAAUCAAAGAAUUUCUAAAUUUACAGGGAAUUCAUUUUACAAUAAUAGCAAUUUCAUCUUUUAGAAAAAGUUGAAAAAGAGUGGACAUCAGACAUGUAUUCACAUUUGCUUUUUCGCCGACUGACAUUCUAAAUUGCUAUCUCAAACAACCAAAUCAGGAGUCACUGCAGGGAGCAAAUAGUUACAAAUUAUAAGUAAAGGAUCUUCAUUAAAGCAACAAUGAAAAUAUGUGUAUUUCUUUGAUAAUAUAGAUGAAAUAAUAUAAAUUAUCUGCAAUUCAUAACCACAAAUUGAACUUGAAAUAAUGACCGAGAGAAGUAUUUCAUAAUUUCAGUAGUAUCAUUUUUUCGGACUAUAAAACUUAUUGUAUUUUUGAAAAAAUCACGUAUAUAAAUGAUAGAACAUACUAACACUUUCUUACAUGAAAGAAAAUAUCCUAAAUUCAGAAUAUGUAGUACUGCAUUGAGGUCAUAAAAGCAGUCUAGUCUUCCCUUGUUAAGAUCCUGAACCAACAAAUAUGAAGACUUAUUAUGAACAACUAAUAAUACCAAGAAACUGCUCAAAUAACUCAGACCCUGCCAAUCCAAAAAAGAAGAAAGAUGAUGCAAUGCUCCUAAGGUUUUAUGGGUAUUGUUAAUCGAAGAACUCAUUCUCACUGGUUAUGCCUCCGAAAGACUUGAUAAUGCCAUCCGAAGAAUUUUAUACAGCAAUCAGUAGGUUAUCACCCAUUAUCUUUUGUUUAGCACCAGCAGAAUUGAUUUGGUGGCCGGAGUAAUUUAAUUUGCACAGCAGUGGAUCUUUAUAAUGAAUGAAAGCUUAAAAUUAUUAGGGAAUUUAGAAUUGGUAAAGAAAUUAAUUAUAAAAGCAAUGAAAAAAGAUUACCAUGGCGAUCAAAUGAUGAAGUAAAUGAUUUUCACAAGUUUUACAAACUGCUUAUUAAACCAAUUUUGCCGCUACUUAUUAUCUCGUUUUCUUGCUACUUUAUCUCUUCUGUUCCCUCGUACUGCAUGUCCUGGUUAAGAAUCAAAUGAGAUUAUUGCGAAUAAGUUCUAUUGUCCACGUGCUAUCUACCUUGUUAAUGGACGUUUACAUAAUUUAUACAACCAUAAUUAGAGAUCUAUAAAGAAGGAAAUUUUUAAAUUGCUUGUAAAGGUUCAGACAAAAAAAAGAAUAAUGAAAUUUUUUCUGACCUUUUUGGCGAUUACAAGCACAACUGGGAUAAUUCAUAAUUUCAUUGUAAAAUAUUGAGAAAUUGCAAGAUAGGCCGUUCGUAUAGGAUGUAUAAGGAACGGUUCUACAUCUGCAAUAUCCUUAGCAGACUUGCAAGCAGCAUUAAUUAAGACUCACGAUCAGGAUUUCCAUGCUCUUCGGCAAAACAAUUGCUCAAUAGCUUCGUGAAUAUUGCCUCACUUUUGCUAGAGUUUCUGUAAAAUAUAUUUCAUCGAAGAGUUGCUGUACAAUGCAAUCGUAGUUUUGUGCCUUUUUACCUAGGGA
rnacentral:lncRNA from 1 species